CAUGUCUAAGUAUAAGCAACUUGUACUGUGAAACUGCGAAUGGCUCAUUAAAUCAGUUAUCGUUUAUUUGAUAGUACCUUACUACAUGGAUACCUGUGGUAAUUCUAGAGCUAAUACAUGCUAAAAACCCCGACUUCAGGAAGGGGUGUAUUUAUUAGAUAAAAAACCAACGCCCUUCGGGGCUCCUUGGUGAAUCAUAAUAACUUAACGAAUCGCAUGGCCUUGCGCCGGCGAUGGUUCAUUCAAAUUUCUGCCCUAUCAACUUUCGAUGGUAGGAUAGUGGCCUACCAUGGUGGCAACGGGUAACGGGGAAUUAGGGUUCGAUUCCGGAGAGGGAGCCUGAGAAACGGCUACCACAUCCAAGGAAGGCAGCAGGCGCGCAAAUUACCCAAUCCCGAUACGGGGAGGUAGUGACAAUAAAUACUGAUACGGGGCUCUUUUGGGUCUCGUAAUUGGAAUGAGAACAAUUUAAAUCCCUUAACGAGGAACAAUUGGAGGGCAAGUCUGGUGCCAGCAGCCGCGGUAAUUCCAGCUCCAAUAGCGUAUAUUAAAGUUGUUGCAGUUAAAAAGCUCGUAGUUGAACCUUGGGUCUGGCUGGCCGGUCCGCCUCACCGCGAGUACUGGUCCGGCUGGACCUUUCCUUCUGGGGAACCUCAUGGCCUUCACUGGCUGUGGGGGGAACCAGGACUUUUACUGUGAAAAAAUUAGAGUGUUCAAAGCAGGCCUUUGCUCGAAUACAUUAGCAUGGAAUAAUAGAAUAGGACGUGUGGUUCUAUUUUGUUGGUUUCUAGGACCGCCGUAAUGAUUAAUAGGGAUAGUCGGGGGCGUCAGUAUUCAGCUGUCAGAGGUGAAAUUCUUGGAUUUGCUGAAGACUAACUACUGCGAAAGCAUUCGCCAAGGAUGUUUUCAUUAAUCAGGGAACGAAAGUUAGGGGAUCGAAGACGAUCAGAUACCGUCGUAGUCUUAACCAUAAACUAUGCCGACUAGGGAUCGGACGGGAUUCUAUAAUGACCCGUUCGGCACCUUACGAGAAAUCAAAGUUUUUGGGUUCUGGGGGGAGUAUGGUCGCAAGGCUGAAACUUAAAGAAAUUGACGG
rnacentral:rRNA from 1 species